rnacentral:rRNA from 1 species
CAAGUCGAGGGGUAGCAGGGUAGCAAUACCGCUGACGACCGGCAAACGGGUGCGGAACACGUACACAACCUUCCUUUUAGUGGGGAAUAGCCCAGAGAAAUUUGGAUUAAUACCCCGUAACAUAACGAUGUGGCAUCACACUGUUAUUAUAGGUUUACCGCUAAGAGAUGGGUGUGCGGCUGAUUAGGUAGUUGGCGGAGUAACAGCCCACCAAGCCAACGAUCAGUAGCUGAUGUGAGAGCAUGAUCAGCCACACGGGCACUGAGACACGGGCCCGACUCCUACGGGAGGCAGCAGUAAGGAAUAUUGGACAAUGGACGCAAGUCUGAUCCAGCCAUGCCGCGUGAAGGAUUAAGGCCCUCUGGGUUGUAAACUUCUUUUAUAGGGGACGAAAAAAGGGCUUUCUAGCUCGACUGACGGUACCCUAUGAAUAAGCACCGGCUAACUCCGUGCCAGCAGCCGCGGUAAUACGGAGGGUGCAAGCGUUAUCCGGAUUCACUGGGUUUAAAGGGUGCGUAGGCGGGCAGUUAAGUCAGUGGUGAAAUCUUCGAGCUCAACUCGGAAACUGCCAUUGAUACUAUCUGUCUUGAAUAUUGUGGAGGUGAGCGGAAUAUGUCAUGUAGCGGUGAAAUGCUUAGAUAUGACAUAGAACACCAAUUGCGUAGGCAGCUCGCUACACAAAUAUUGACGCUGAGGCACGAAAGCGUGGGGAUCAAACAGGAUUAGAUACCCUGGUAGUCCACGCCCUAAACUAUGAUUACUCGACAUAUGCGAUACACUGUAUGUGUCUGAGCGAAAGCAUUAAGUAAUCCACCUGGGAAGUACGACCGCAAAGUUGAAACUCAAGGAAUUGCGGGGGUCCGC